rnacentral:misc_RNA from 1 species
ACGAGUUAGGGUCUCCUAGGCCCGACCUCCCAACCCUUUGUUUAUUAGACCUCUGUUGCUUCGGCGGACCCGUCUCAAACUGACCGCCGGAGGAUCGCCCACCCGGCGUCCUCUGGCCAGUGCCCGCCGAUAGCCCAUCAUUUUAACUCUGGAACAAUCGUGACAUGUGUCUAAGUGAAUUUAUUCAAUUAAAAGCAA